GGGUGAAUCACCUGGGGAUUUUGUUAAAGUGCAGGUUCAGACUUAGCAGGCAUGCAGUGGGGCCUGAGAUUCUGCAUUUCUAACAAACUCCCAGGUGAUGCUAAU
rnacentral:pre_miRNA from 1 species